rnacentral:rRNA from 1 species
GGAAUAUUGCACAAUGGGCGAAAGCCUGAUGCAGCGACGCCGCGUGUGUGAAGAAGUAUUUCGGCAUGUAAAGCUCUAUCAGCAGGGAAGAAAAUGACAGUACCUGACUAAGACUCCCCGGCUAACUCCGUGCGAGCAGCCGCGGUAAUACGUAGGGGGCAAGCGUUAUCCGGAUUUACUGGGUGUAAAGGGAGCGUAGACGGCGAAGCAAGUCUGAAGUGAAAACCCAGGGCUCAACCCUGGGACUGCUUUGGAAACUGUUUUGCUAGAGUGUCGGAGAGGUAAGUGGAAUUCCUAGUGUAGCGGUGAAAUGCGUAGAUAUUAGGAGGAACACCAGUGGCGAAGGCGGCUUACUGGACGAUAACUGACGUUGAGGCUCGAAAGCGUGGGGAGCAAACA